CCAGCGGAGGGAUCAUUACCGAGUUUACAACUCCCAAACCCAAUGUGAACCAUACCAAACUGUUGCCUCGGCGGGGUCACGCCCCGGGUGCGUCGCAGCCCCGGAACCAGGCGCCCGCCGGAGGGACCAACCAAACUCUUUUCUGUAGUCCCCUCGCGGACGUUAUUUCUUACAGCUCUGAGCAAAAAUUCAAAAUGAAUCAAAACUUUCAACAACGGAUCUCUUGGUUCUGGCAUCGAUGAAGAACGCAGCGAAAUGCGAUAAGUAAUGUGAAUUGCAGAAUUCAGUGAAUCAUCGAAUCUUUGAACGCACAUUGCGCCCGCCAGUAUUCUGGCGGGCAUGCCUGUCCGAGCGUCAUUUCAACCCUCGAACCCCUCCGGGGGGUCGGCGUUGGGGACCUCGGGAGCCCCUAAGACGGGAUCCCGGCCCCGAAAUACAGUGGCGGUCUCGCCGCAGCCUCUCCUGCGCAGUAGUUUGCACAACUCGCACCGGGAGCGCGGCGCGUCCACGUCCGUAAAACACCCAACUUCUGAAAUGUGACCUCGGAUCAGUAGAAUCCCCCAC
rnacentral:rRNA from 1 species